CUUUAUUUAUAAGUGUUAAUCGUGAAGUAUAUUUACAUCUUAAAUAUAAAGGCAUAGCGUGGUUUUAAAGUCAACAAUUCUAUUCUCUGUUAAGCUCUGCCCAGUGAAAUAUGUUACCCAGCCUUCUCACGUCCACUUUUUGGAAGAAAAAGUUAGUAAUCCCCCCUCCCCCUUUUGAAUAUUAAGCUCCACUUCAUAUUAAAUAAAUGAAGGGAUACUGAAUGGUUUAAUUAAUUAUCGUGGCGAUUCAUGUUAGUUUUUUAAUAGAUUAAUUUAACAUGCUUGACCAAACAUGUUAACCUAUAAAAAACGUCAACGAAUCACGCAUUAAGCUCCCUUGUAUAUUAGUAACAAUAUCUGUGUGACUAGAAUAAUAGACAUUACAGGCUACACUCAUCCAGAGUCAGCACAAAUCAUGCAUUUUGAUUAGGUACUCAACCAGGGGCCGUUACGUAACGAAGCAAAGUUGAGAAAAAAGAUGGCGGAAAACUUCUGUUUUGCAAAGGUUUUGGGGGGACUUCUGUAUGGAAAAUUCUUUCCCAGACAAAAAAAGGCUACAAAAUAUGAUCUUAAAACGUAUAACGGUAGGGAGCAAAAUUUAAAUGGUAUUUUAAUAAUAAAUCUGCUGCAAUACUUGCCACAAAAUUGGAAAAAGAAGACAAACAUAUACACUUGGUUCAAGUCCGUCACAGGACAAAAGUAGGGAGAUAUGAACUUGGGUCAUUUGAUGCAUUUCGAAUGUAACUUGCGGAAAUUGGCGCGAAAAUUUGUUGUUCUUGUCAACUCGCAAGCCACGCCUCCGUAGGAAAAUCCAAAGUCCGUCUUUCCCUAUUUUUUCUCAUAUUUCCGUGCCUUUUUUCACGGCUCGUGUGCAUUGCAAUUGUCAAACCCUUGAAAGGCGAACUUGAACCAUGUCUAAGACAGACAGAAUUGCUGAGCAUAUUUCUUCCUACAUGCACAUUAGAAGCAAAAUCGUCGAAAUUUCAGCUACUUAUAGUUACAUAAUCAGUGCUUCCAUAACCAAAAUCGAGAUUUCCUUUUUCAAUGAUGAAAAUUUCCUGAUAUUUUCUGGAUUUUUUUCCGGAUUUCCUGAUAUUUCCGGAAUUAAAUUUCUAACAUAAAAGUAAACUUAAAAUUUUGCGCAAUACGCUUCGUUUUCGCGUUUUAUUCUCCAUUAAGUCUUUUAGUAAUUUGGUGAAAAGAAAUAUCAAUGGACUCAAUGACUAAUGAAAAUAUCAAAGACUGUUUCAACUUUUUAUCAAACCAACACUUGCUAUGUGAC
rnacentral:lncRNA from 1 species